rnacentral:tRNA from 1 species
GCUCGCAUGGCUUAGUGGUAAAGCGCAUGACUAGUAAUCAUGAGAUCCUCGGUUCGACUCCGAGUG